AUGUCCGCAUACCAUAGAAGGGCGGUAUGAUUUGAGGUAUGAAGUCACAGCUGGCGGCAAUUGAUACAGCGGAGUGUUGGAGAUGGCUGAUGGCGUACUUGCCUGCCGGGAGUCCGGCGGUUGGCAUACCGCUCCAAGAUGUUAUUUGGUUUUGCCGUAUAAAAUAAAUAAGCUGUGGCCGAUCAUCACCCAGCU